rnacentral:rRNA from 1 species
GAUGAACGCUGGCGGCGUGCCUAAUACAUGCAAGUCGAGCGAACAGACGAGGAGCUUGCUCCUCUGACGUUAGCGGCGGACGGGUGAGUAACACGUGGAUAACCUACCUAUAAGACUGGGAUAACUUCGGGAAACCGGAGCUAAUACCGGAUAACAUGUUGAACCGCAUGGUUCAACAGUGAAAGACGGUCUUGCUGUCACUUAUAGAUGGAUCCGCGCCGCAUUAGCUAGUUGGUAAGGUAACGGCUUACCAAGGCAACGAUGCGUAGCCGACCUGAGAGGGUGAUCGGCCACACUGGAACUGAGACACGGUCCAGACUCCUACGGGAGGCAGCAGUAGGGAAUCUUCCGCAAUGGGCGAAAGCCUGACGGAGCAACGCCGCGUGAGUGAAGAAGGUCUUCGGAUCGUAAAACUCUGUUAUUAGGGAAGAACAAAUGUGAAAGUAACUAUGCACGUCUUGACGGUACCUAAUCAGAAAGCCACGGCUAACUACGUG